GUGAGCUGUCCCUUGUCGAGAACAGUUUUCUGUUUUCCUCAAUGAGGAGUGUCAUUCAUUUGUGAGCCUUCAUCAACUCAAAGUGAAAUGGUUAAAAAUAUUUAUCCUGUUAGAAUAGGCUGCAUCUUUUUCACAACUCAUUAAAAAAUGACAACAACGAUAACAAAACUCUGGCUUUUGAAAUGAUGUAUACUAAUUCACAUUGUUUACCUACCUGUAGUGCUAUAUGAACACUACUUAAAAGGCAAAAUAAACUUGGUUGAUAUUAAAAAAAGAAAGGUGGCAGAGCUGCAGAGGAACAGCCUUGGAAGAUGCUACUGACAGGGAGACUCCAGGCUCAGCCUCAGCCCAUGAAGAAGAUGACAGAACACAGAAAUCUUCCUGUUCCUGCUAGCGCUGUGGCAGUGCACACCUGCCCUCCUGAUGCUUGGGGAACUGAGACAGGAGAGCCUGGAGUUUGAGGCUACAAAGGGAGGCACUGUGCUUUCUCAUUACCAAGCCUACUAUAGCACAGAUCAGCACAACUCAGAAAUGGGUCUCUCCCGCUCUUGCAGUUGCAAAGGGAAAUGGGAUGUAGCUUUGGACAGUUCUCAAGUUCCAUCCGAGUCUCCCCUCUCCAGCUCUGAGCCCAGUCUCGCCAGUUUGUUGGAUGUGAAUUCUAUGAUCACAAAUUAAUGUGCAAAACCUUUUCCUUAUAAUCCAGCUUUUCAUCAAAGCCACUAAGAACCAGAAGCUUACCAAAAAGCCACGGCUUCUUAAGAACUUUUUACUUCUUUUGUUUUCAAGGGCCCAGGUCACCAUCAAGGAGACUAAAACUGGGGUAGGAAGAGCAUGAGACGGUCUCAGAGAUGCCUGAAGCCUUGGAGGAGCUGAAUGGUAGAGUUUCUUUGUAUCUUCCAGAGGAGAAGAAAACACCAUCCAGAAUCCUUGUGACAAGCACUCGCUUGCGAUUGAGCAAGUGUCAUGUUGCCUGUCAUCUGAAAGGCAGCAGAGAAGCAUCAUCAUUGUGUCCCCACUCUAAAAACAAAAUGCAAGUCUCUGGGCAUGCUGGUGGCAUCCCACACUCCCCCUGACCUGCUGGCUCAUCCUGCUGCAUAGGACAUCAUCUGCACUUGGAACUCCUCGGUCUCCACCAAUGGUUCUUCAACUCUCAAGUCAUGUACAUUUUCAGAUCAUUGAACUACUCUGCAGGAUACUGGUGCUACUAAGGCUGGAGACGUUAAGA
rnacentral:sRNA from 1 species